rnacentral:misc_RNA from 1 species
GAUGAAGAACGUAGUGAAAUGCGAUAAGUAAUGUGAAUUGCAGAAUUCAGUGAAUCAUCGAAUCUUUGAACGCACCUUGCACCCUUUGGCAUUCUGAAGGGUAUGCUCGUUUGAGUGUCAUUGUACUCUCACACUCCCGAUCUUUGCAUUGGGAGCAGUGGACUUGGGUUUGCUGCUUCACCGUCGCUUACCUCAAAUAGGUUAGUGCAACUCUUGGUUGGACAUAGUACGGCGUGAUAAGUGUUCUUCGCCGGUGCCUCGCAAAGAGGGUGGCCGAUCGGGAUGUUGUGCUCCAAACCGUCUUCGGACAAUCUCUGACGUCUUGACCUCAAAUCGAGUAAGACUACCCGCUGAACUUAAGCAUAUCAAUAAGCGGAGGA